rnacentral:rRNA from 1 species
UACGGAGGGGGCUAGCGUUGUUCGGAAUUACUGGGCGUAAAGCGCACGUAGGCGGCUUUGUAAGUUAGAGGUGAAAGCCCAGGGCUUAACCCUGGAAUUGCCUUUAAGACUGCAUCGCUAGAAUUGUGGAGAGGUAAGUGGAAUUCCGAGUGUAGAGGUGAAAUGCGUAGAUAUCUGGAGGAACAUCAGUGGCGAAGGCGGCUUCCUGGUCCAACACUGACACUGAGGUGCGAAAGCGUGGGGAGCAAACAGG